CUGAGUCGAAGCUGUCAUAGGAGGGAACACGCUGCAGGCUGUUGAAAGAUGACUGGCUGCUCCAGGACUGGGUUUCAAGUUCAGGCCCAGACAAGAAGCAGGACACUGGUAAGGUGACUCCAUUUGGUGAAAUGCGACUGCGCUUGUGUCAAGGGAGAGAAGAGCAACCCAGUCAAGCUCCUGCCCAGAUGCCAACUCCCCUAGGAAAAGGAGAGGAAGGGAGACGAAGUGCACCUGCGGACAGAAAGCUCUGAACGACCCUGCAUGAUGCUGUCAGGAAACUGCUAGAGUCCAGGCUGUG
rnacentral:lncRNA from 1 species